GGUUCCUGUAAUGACACUCUUUCAAGAUGGCCAGGCUUCUGGUGAGCAAUAGCUGUUAUUUUUUCCCAUGGUGCUGGAUCAUCCACAGCGGAGCUGACCAGGUUUACGUGCCCUGCAGAGCCACUUGGGGUAAAUCAGAUGAAGGACGGAGGAUGGAGGCAUUCUGCACUCGAGUUAAAAUCAAGCCAAGAAAUGAAUCUCUUGUUAGGAAUUUUGCCUGGUGAAUCAUGUUGAACUGAGAGCUGUCUGUGGUGAGCACAGGCAAUAUCCAAUCACUAGCUGUACUUCACCUCCUCACAGUUACACCCUGCUGUGUGAGGAAAGUGUCUCUCUUCCUCAGAAAACAAGAUCCAAGGUGCAAAACCCAUCAACUGGGGCGUCAUGGAAUAUCUUGGAAAAUUUUAGAGCUAGUAAUUUCCUUCUGCCAGGAAUAAUUUGGUUUAGUCUUUCUUUUUCUAAAUGUCCACAUCAGCAGUGGAAUAGCAAAACAUGAAUUGGACUGCCUAUGGACCGUGAUUUACUGUCACUCUUUCCGACCAGGCUUAGACUACAGGCAGGUACUAACCCAGAAGGCAGAAGUCUGGAGGCCUGAAAGAAUUACAGGACAAAAUACUGGCCCCUCACAGGAACUGAGCAAGACUUGAGUGUCGGAAGUCCAGACAUGUAUUACAUUUAUUCAUUAAACAAUGAUGUACUGAGUGGCUAUGUUGAACCAUUUGCUUCAUCACACAACUGGGACACAUUGGUGGUGGAAUGCACAAGAAUCCUUGUGAAAUGAAGUCUGCACAUUCUAAAAGCAGGAGACCAGCAAUUAACAAUACAUGUGAUAACAGAGUAAAUUCUGCAGUGUGUUGGAAGCUGAGAAAUUCUACAGGAAAAAAUAAGUUUCAGAAGUUUCAGUCCACAGUUAGCUGGUUCCAUCCCCUUAAGCCUGUGGUGAGGCUGAAGCAGCAUGGUUUCUACCACGAAAGGGCACGGCAGAGGAAAACUGCUCAUCUCAACGUGGCCAUGAGGCAGAGAAGAAGAGAAAGGGCCAGACAGGAAGGGGCCAGGGUGUGAAAUACUCUGCAAAGACGUGGCACCUCCACUUAGACUAUCACCUCCUAACAGCCCGUUCAGCUAAGGAGCUCAUCAGCGGGUCGACCCACGGGUGAAGUUAGCAUCUUCUUGAUUUCAUCACCGCUGUGGGCCCCACCUCUGAACACUGCCGCACCGGCGUUCAAGCCCUCAGUGCGGCUGUUCACAGUGGCUGAGGAGCCUUCUGGGGCAUUUCAGCAGCGUCCCUGGACACAGUGAAUCGACAGACUUCUUUUUGAAAAACUUCUAUAAAGAGCUAUUGCUGCAUCCAGCAGGAAGCCAUAGACACAACUAUUUUACAUCUGCGUGAUGAAACAAUGUAUUUAUCAAAAGCAACCUCUAAGUAGGUUGCCAUUAUCAAAGACAUCAGCAGCCCAUCUCCCUGGGAGACAGUGAAACCCUGCAUUUAUCUAAAUUAUCUCGGUAAUAUGACGGAGUGAUUGCUCACUAAUGGUCAGUAAUAGUUUUCUUUGUCAUUUUCCUAGUCAUUACCUCCUCAGAAUGAACUCCAGAAUAAACUGCUUGGAGUCUGUGACUAGAAUGCUAAGUUCCACUUUGUGUUUGUGGCUGGUUCUUUCAAAUGCAUGAACUGGGCUAACAUAGUUCUGACAUUUCCAUUUUGUGCAGAAGAAUGCCCUGCCUUAGGAAGUCUGAUGGAUGCAGG
ensembl:lncRNA